CGGACGGGUGAGUAACACGUGGAUAACCUACCUAUAAGACUGGGAUAACUUCGGGAAACCGGAGCUAAUACCGGAUAAUAUAUUGAACCGCAUGGUUCAAUAGUGAAAGACGGUUUUGCUGUCACUUAUAGAUGGAUCCGCGCUGCAUUAGCUAGUUGGUAAGGUAACGGCUUACCAAGGCAACGAUGCGUAGCCGACCUGAGAGGGUGAUCGGCCACACUGGAACUGAGACACGGUCCAGACUCCUACGGGAGGCAGCAGGU
rnacentral:rRNA from 1 species